UGGAGGAUUGAGAAGGUUUAGCAGCUUGAAAACAAGUGCUGCUACAACUGGUUAUAACCUCCUAAAGUAAAAAAAGCAGCAGAUGCAUCAUCCCGGCUCUGUGAAAACACACCGGAGCCUGCGCUGCAUCUGCGGACACGCU